rnacentral:rRNA from 1 species
GACGAACGCUGGCGGCGUGCUUAACACAUGCAAGUCGAACGGAGCUAUUUAUUUCGGUAAAUCGCUUAGUGGCAAACGGGUGAGUAACGCGUAGGCAACCUGCCCUCAGGAUGGGGACAACGGCUCGAAAGAGCCGCUAAUACCGAAUGACGUAACUCUUCCACAUGGAAGAGAUACUAAAGAUGGGUCAAACCAUCGCCUAAGGAUGGGCCUGCGUCUGAUUAGCCAGUUGGUGAGGUAACGGCUCACCAAAGCGACGAUCAGUAGCCGGUCUGAGAGGAUGAACGGCCACAAUGGGACUGAGACACGGCCCAUACUCCUACGGGAGGCAGCAGUGGGGAAUCUUCCGCAAUGGGCGAAAGCCUGACGGAGCAACGCCGCGUGAGUGAAGAAGGUCUUCGGAUCGUAAAGCUCUGUUGUCGGGGACGAAAGAGUAGACGAGGAAAUGCGUCUACUAAGACGGUACCUGACGAGGAAGCCACGGCU